GCUCCCUGUGCUGCUGGGAAAUGUUCACGUGGUGGUCAGAACACAGCCAUCUGGGAGAAGUGCUCCUCUUGGGGACUUCUGAGUUUCAAUCUUACCUCACCUCUGGUUUCUCCUUUUAUAGUGGUUGGCUCGCAGCCCUCUCUACAGUGAAUAAGGGGCCCUUAGCUGUGACCAUCAUCAUGAUGGUAGUGGCUGGCUUCUUUACCCUCUGUGCUGGGCUCUCACUCUUCCUCCUGCAGCGGGUCCAUGCCUUCUACCGCCGAACAGGAGCCAGCUUCCAGCAGGCUCAGGAAGAAUUCUCCCAGGGCAUCUUCAGCAGCAGAACCUUCCGCACUGCUGCCUCGUCUGCUGCCCGAGGAACCUUCCAGGGGAAUUAGUCUUCCUGACUCUCCUUCCCUCAGCCCUGGCCUCUGUCACCUGCCUUCUGAGCUGCACUUUCCAUGGGUGCCUUAGCAGUGGCUGUGCCCAGCACAGACCAGGCAGGGAUUCGUCUUGUCCCUGCACUUUCCUCAGUAGUCAGCUUUCUCUUCUACAGGAGGGAAGGACAGGAAGGGACAAGGACUUUUUUUUUUAACACAUGGGAAAAGAAAAAAAUAACAAAGCUGUCUUUCCUUUUCUAACGGUGGUUUGGUAGGAUUUUGUCUGGAAGCAAUGGGCCUGCUUUUCCUGAAAACAAAUGGACUCAUGGGUAUGGGAUCAUGGGCCAGCCUGGGCUCACUGUACCAGGGAUUUCCCACAGGCACUUUGCAUUCCUCCCUCUAUAGGCUUCAUCUGUACUGGGGCCUCCACAGUCUUGCCUUUCAUGCUUGGGCUUCAUGAGCCUCCCCAGGGCUACACUCUAGGUGAACUGUGUACUGGGUGGGUGCACAGAAGUUUCCCAGAUUAUCUUCGGGGGUCUUCAGGUGUUCACGAUAGUCACGACCCUGUGCCUGCUUCGACUCAUGGUGUGACCGCACCUUGUGUCCUCGGGGCCUUCCCUAGCCCCUCUUCAGACUUCUGAAUGUAUAGUGAGUGGGGUUGGUUGGGACUUGGGGAUGGGGAGGGACUGAGGACAAGUCAAUCAAGUCCUGCCCAGCCUCUAGCAGUCUUCUGAGAGGGUAGGUGUCUGCUGACCUGUUUGUUGUGGCUUCUCUCCUCCCAAGGGACUCUGCCCCUCCGCCUUACCCUGGCCCCUGCCCAUCUUCAGCAAUACUCACCUCUUACAACUCUUAGGGUGGUUUGGAGGAAAUCAGUCCUGAACUAUGUCCUGCAGGCAGGACUGCUGAGCCUUCUUUCUGAGGGUUCUUCCCACACCCUCAGUGGAGUCUAGGUUCCUAUCCACUCAUCUUGGGGUGCUCCACAGGUGUCACUGCAGUGGCACUUAGGAAGCCACUGUGAGAACCUGGACCCUGUGCUUUGUGAGUGUUGUAAGCACUCGCCAAGCUGGCCAGCCUCCUGCCUCUGGGAACUGGGGCCCUCCUGAGGCUACCCUCAUGCUGUCAGCCCAUUUAGCCCUAGAGCCACCAAAUGGUAAUGACAGCCACAAGGGUUUUGUAAACUCUCUGGUAUUAUUUUCCUCCAUGUACAAAUGUAUAUGUCUUGUCUCAAUUUUUGUGCUUUAAUAAAAAGAUUUUCGGACAGCAC
rnacentral:lncRNA from 1 species